UAAUGAUUAUAAAUUCUGAUGGAGUUCUUAUUAGAAUAAGAGUCAAUGAAAUAUCACUGUUUGGAAGAGUUACAAGUGGUGUUAAAUUAAUGAAGACGAAUGAUGAAGUCAAUGUAGUUUCGAUUGCCAAAAUAAAUAUUGAAGAAGAAUAGGAUAAAUAUCCUAUUCUUUUUGUAUAAUGUAGUUAGAUAAAAAUUUAAAAUUGAAAGGAGUAAUUGUUAUGUGCAAUAAAAGAAGUUGUAAAAAAGGUGGAUUUUUAUUAUUAGGAGCUAUUUUAGGGUUUAUAUUUGGUAUGUUUUUUGCACCUAAAAAAGGUUCUGAACUAAGAAAAGAAACAAAAGAGAAGUUUAAUGAUGUUAAAGAAAAUCCAAAAGAAGUUCUACAUGAAACAUUUAAUGAUGUUAAAGAGAGAAUAAUAAAUUUAGUGGAUGAUGAUAAUAAUGAAGAAGAUAUAAAGAUUUCAGAAGAAGAUAUAGUAAUAAGUAAAAGCUUUGAUGAUGAGGGAGAUGUUAACUAAUGAAUGCAUGGGGGUGGCAAAUUGGAGCAGUGUUAGUAGGAAGCUCUGCUCUUAUAGUAGCAAUUUAUUUAGCUAAAACUCUAAACAGCAUAAAUAAGGUUGUUGAAAAGGCAUAUAAGAUUGUAGAUUAUAAUGAAAGACAUAUACAAGAUAUUGUUGAAAAUGCAUCAUCAAUAUCAAAGGGAAUAGAUGAUAUAGUUUAUGUAAUUAAUAAAAUAUUGAGUAUAGGAAAUAUAUUUAAAAUUAUUAAAAGGAAAUAGGAGGUUUUUACAUGUCUAUGAAUAUUGAUUCAAAUUUAGAUUCACAAAAUAAAUUUUGGAAUGUUUGUCUUGAUGGAGAACUUGAUGUUUCUACAGCAGAUAAACUAAAGGAACAUUUACAUGCUUUAAUAGAAAAAAAUAUGUUAGAUGUAAAGAUUAAUCUUAAAGAUUUAGAUUAUAUAGACUCAACAGGCUUAGGAGCUAUGAUAGGUGUAUUAAAAAAAUUAAAAAUAAAUGAAAAAGAGAUAUACAUAGUAAAUCCUAAGAGUAACGUAAGAAAGAUUUUUACUAUAACAGGUCUAGAUAAAAUAUUUAAAGUGGAGGGAUAAACUUUGGCUUGUGAGACUAUAAAGAUGGAAAUUACUACAAAUCCAGAUUAUGUUAGUAUAAUAAGAUUAACAGCAUCUGGAAUUGCCAAUAAGAUGGGUUUUCCAAUAGAUGAUAUAGAAGAUAUAAAGGUAGCAGUAUCUGAAGCAUGUACAAAUGCAAUAAAACACAGUAAAGAUGAUGUGUUUAAUAUAGUAUUUAAUAUUUUAGAUAAUGCAAUUAAUAUAGAAAUUCAAGAUAAUGGAAAAGGAUAUGAUGUUAGCUCAAUAAGUACACCAGAUUUAGAGAAUCCAAAAGAGAGUGGUCUUGGAUUGUUUAUAAUUAAAACUUUAAUGGAUGAUGUAGAUAUUGAAUCAGAACAUAAUCAAGGGACAAAAAUAAAAAUGACUAAAUAUUUAGGAGUUGAUAUUUAAUGAAAAAUGUAGCUAAUGCUACACAUUACCUAAAUAUGGAUACAAAAGAGCUAUUUAAUUUAUAUAAUAAAAAUAAAAAUGUAGACAUUAGAAAUAUUCUUAUUGAAAGACAUCUGUAUUUAGCAAGAUUGUUAGCUAAGAAGUAUAUAAACAAAGGUGUUGAUUUUGAAGAUAUAUAUCAAGUUGCUUCAUUGGCAUUAAUUUAUGCUAUUGAUAGAUAUGAUGUUGAGAAAGGAUUUGAGUUCUCCAGCUUUGCAACACCAACUAUAGUAGGAGAAAUAAAAAAGUAUUUUAGAGAUAAGGUAUGGACACUUAGAGUCCCAAGAAGAAUACAGGAAUUAAGCAAAAAGAUAAGUGAUGCGAAGAUUAAAUUAGAACAAGAAAAUAAGAAGCAUCCAAAGGUAAAAGAUAUAGCUGAUUAUAUAGGCGUUAGUGAAGAAGAUGUUUUAGAGGCUAUGGAGGCUUCUUAUGGAUAUCAACCAAUGUCUUUGGAUUCAUCAAGUAAUGAUGAUUCAGAGGAUAAAGAUAUAACUCUUAUUGAUAAGAUUGGAAAAGAAGAAGGUAACUUUGGAAGUAUAGAGUAUGAAGAUUUUAUUAAUAAGUUUAUUGAAACUUUAAAUGAAUUAGAAGUUAAAAUUUUUAAAGAUAGAUUUUUCUUUGAUAAAACACAAUCUAGUAUAGCUAAAGAACUAGGGAUAUCACAGAUGACUGUUUCUAGACUAGAGAAAAAGGUAGUAGAGAAGCUGAAAAAAGAAUAUGAAAAAAAUUUAUAAAAAAAUAUAAAAAAAGUAUUGACCUACUGUUUUAAAGAUGGUAUAGUAUUACUUGUCCUUGAAAAAAGGAACAAGAAAUAAACACGAACAUUGAAAAUUAAACAGUAGGUUAAUUUAUAAAACAAGAAACAAACCAUAAAGCCAGAUAUUUUGAUAACAAUAGUAUCUGAGCCUGAUAAACUUUUAUUUGAGAGUUUGAUCCUGGCUCAGGAUGAACGCUGGCGGCGUGCCUAACACAUGCAAGUUGAGCGAUUUACUUCGGUAAAGAGCGGCGGACGGGUGAGUAACGCGUGGGUAACCUACCCUGUACACACGGAUAACAUACCGAAAGGUAUGCUAAUACGGGAUAAUAUAUUUGAGAGGCAUCUCUUGAAUAUCAAAGGUGAGCCAGUACAGGAUGGACCCGCGUCUGAUUAGCUAGUUGGUAAGGUAACGGCUUACCAAGGC
rnacentral:rRNA from 1 species